rnacentral:lncRNA from 1 species
CCGACCAAACCCCAGAAAUUUCUCCGGCAGACUCCCCGUCACGCGCCGCCACGCACCGCACAGCUGUCGGCGCGUCAGACCACGCGCCGGCCCGUGGGGCUGCUUCCGGCCAGUUUUUCACUUCGCUCCAGAAGGACAGUUUGGUCGGCCUUAAAUUCCGACCCUACCCAUCCACUUUUUGUUCGAUUCCGAUAACUUUGAUUUUUUCCGGCGACUUUUCCGGCAGCUACAGAGAUUUUCCGGCCAGAAUUUCAAAAAAUUUCUUCAGGACAGUAUCAUCGCCUUCAAAUUCCGAGCCUACUCAUAUUUUUACUUUUCAAUUCCGACAACUUUGAAGUUUUUCCGGCAUCUACCGUGAUUUUCCGGCAAAAAAAAAAAUAGUUUUCCUUCAUCUGUUUCAGCAAAUUUUCAACGAUGUAUUUGGGAAUCGAUGCUUUCGGGUCUAGAAACCUGGGUUCGAUGUUAAACUACAUAUGUAACAAGCUCGGUACAUAUGAUUUAUAUGCAC